rnacentral:tRNA from 1 species
GCAGGGGUAGCAAAGCCCGGUCAAAUGCGCAGGACUUAAGAUCCUGUGGCUUAGUGCCUUCGUAGGUUCGAAUCCUACCCCCUGCA